GUGCUCAUUUUGGCAGCACGUAUACUAAAAUUGGAAGGAUAGAGGAAGACUGGCAUGGCCCCCGCACAAGGAUGACCUGCAAAUUUGUGACGCAUUCCAUAUUUUU